AGUAAACCCAUCAAUGCAUCCACUUUCAAUUCAAUUCAAACACUGCAGAAUUCUGCAAUGUUGAAACCUGGGAUACAAAAGACGCACGUUUCAGGCAUGUUCAAGUCUUUCCUGUCCCUCUCUGUUGGCACCUGCCUGUUCGCAUUUACCUGAAGCCGCCAGGUUCUUGAGUCCAGGUGGACGGACCACGGUCCAGGUGACGUCCUCUGUCUUCUGCAGGAACUGCUCCAUCUCAUACAUGUUGGUGAGGACGCUCCGGAUCAUCGGCAGCAGGAGGAAGCGGAUGAGGCCAUGAAGGCAUCAUCAUGAGAGCUGGACUUAUGCUCAGUGUACCAGGAAGUAUGUAAUCUACACUUACAUACUAUCUUUUUAUAAUAACAAAUGAGAAAAGGCCAUGAAGGCAUCAUCAUGUGAGCUGGACUUACGCUCAGUGUACCAGGAGGUCAUGGUGAUGACCCUGUUGACCCGGGCCUCUCGCAUGGCGCUGAUCAUAGCCUUCAUGGACAGGGUGUAGCCCGACACGCCCGAGAAGAAGGAGGCCGGGAAGCCGAGGCAGGACAUGAUCACAUCCUGUCCCUUGAAGUGACUCUUCAGACUGUCUGCGGAGAAAAUGUCAGCCUCCACCACCUGGAAGCAGACAAGGAGAGGAAAUGAGUUUCAUAUUUAUAUAUAUGAAAGACGUUUAUUUGUAUCUAUUUUAAAUUGUACUGAUGAACUGUU